rnacentral:other from 1 species
GCGGAGCUGCCCGGCGCGUCAGGCAAUUCAUCCCCAGGGCCAAUAAGCAUCCUCCGGGAACUGGCUCUGUCCGGAUCUUGGUCCGGGUAUCCGGUGCCCACCUGCUCACGCAGGCCUUGGGAGGAUGAGACGCCAACGGCCAUGGCGGCUCCGCA